GUACCCUCAAGCUCUGCUUGGUGUUGGGUGUUUGUCCCGCUUUUACGCGUGGACUCGCCUUAAAGCAAUUGGCAGCCGGCAUACUGGCCUGGGAGCGCAGCACAUUUUGCGUUUCUUGCCUUGAAUGUCGACGUCCAUCAAGUCAAACAUUUUGCUC
rnacentral:misc_RNA from 1 species